UCCAGCUCCUGGCCCUGCACAGCACCAUCCCCAAGAGUCGCCCUGUGCCCGAGAGCAUUGUCCAAACACUGCCUGAGCUCUGCCAGGCUGGUGCUGUGCCCACUGCCCUGGGGAGCCUGUUCAGUGCCCAGCCACCCUCUGGGGGAAGAACCUUUUCCUGAUAGCCAACACAAACCUCCCCUGACACAGCUUCAGGCCAUUCCCUGGGUCCUGUCUCUGUCACCACAGAGCAGAGAUCAGUGUCUGUCCCUCCUCUUCCCCUCACGAGGAAUUUGUAACUGCACUGAGGUCUCCCCUCAGUCUCCUCCAGGCUGAACAGACCAAGUGCCCUCAGCCUCUCCUCACACGGCUUCCCCUCAAGGCCCUUCACCAUCCUUGUGGCCUCCUUUGGGCACUCUCUAAUAGUUUAAUGUUUUUCUUCUAUUGUGGCACCCAAAGCUGCCCCAGCACUCGAGGUGAGGCCGGCCCAGCCCCGAGCAGAGCGGGACAAUCCCUCCCUUGCCGGGCUGGCCAUGCUGGGCCUGCUGCCCCCAGGACAGGGAUGUCCCUCCUGGCUGGGAACCUGAACUCCACAGCUCUUUCUGAGCUGCUGUAACCCUCUGCUCAACCAUCCACUUGCUCUCUGCAAACCCAAGGAACGAACAUGACCACUGCCUGCAGACCCUCACCAUGGAUUUGGAAUCUGCUCUGUGCCAGCAGAAAGGCACUCCUGUGUCCCAGUGGGCACUGGGUGACUCUUUCCCCUGACAGAUUCCCCUGACAUUCUUCCUGCUGAAGAAGGCUUCUAGCAGCUUAUCAUCAGGGCAGGCUACAUUUCUUGGCUGGCUGGUGCAUAUUUGAACUUCAGUUCUCACUCUUGGGACCUGCAGCCACAGUUCUCUUCCAGUAGAAAUCCCAAGUCUAAAAGCAGCACAACAGAUGUGACCAUUUUGCAGUGAAUGAGCCCAGGUGUGACUAGAUUGUUCCAUUCAGGUGCAUUGGGAUCCACUGCUGGCUUUUAUUUUCAUUUUCACUGGAAGUCACGCACCCAAACAGAUCUCUGCUGGCACCUAGAAUAUUCAUGUGGAGAGGAAGGAGGAUGGAAGAAAAGCAUGGGAAAAAUUAUGUAUGCACUGAGAAGUACCAACAGUGAUUUUGGAAUGUGAGGCAGAGAGAAACUCAAGCAGCAGUGUGUGCUGCUGUUCUCCUGGUCCCAUCCCUGUGGCACCUUCUGUCUCUUCCCUUUACUCCAUACAGACGCACAGAUGUUGAAUAGUCGUGGAGAUAGGAUUGUGAUUUAAUGGAGUUUGCCACUACAGGCUCUGUAAAAGCAGAAAGGAAGAUUUUGAGACAUUGCAGACCAUCUUUUUUAAUUUCUGCUGUCUCCUGGCAGUGAAGCAAAGUAGAGUGCCAGUAAAUAACAAGGUUCUGCAGCAAUUUGUAUUUCAGUGACACAGAACUUUUCCUUCAAAGUUGCUUAAUAUGCCAUUUUCUUUCUCCUGCUUUUGCUGUGACAGUAUAUUGAAUUUCUCUUCCUCCCCACUUUCAAUUAAUGCAAGAUGAGCCUUUUUUCAAAGGCCUUGUGGGAGUCAGGCACCCAUCUUUCAUCAAUUUUCCAUCUGAGCUGGCACCAAAUUUACUUAGACAACUCUUGAAAUCUCACCCGUGGAGUUUGAUAGUUAACUAAAGAGUCCUUAUUGGAAACUAUGAUUAUU